UACGUAGGUGGCAAGCGUUGUCCGGAUUUACUGGGCGUAAAGAGCGCGCAGGCGGUCGUUCAAGUCGCGUGUGAAAGCCCCCGGCUCAACUGGGGAGGGUCACGCGAUACUGAUCGACUCGAAGGCAGGAGAGGGUAGUGGAAUUCCCGGUGUAGUGGUGAAAUGCGUAGAUAUCAGGAGGAACACCAAUUGCGAAGGCAGCUCGCUGGGACGUUACUGACGCUGAGACGCGAAAGCGUGGGGAGCAAACAGG
rnacentral:rRNA from 1 species